rfam:Nicotiana attenuata strain TT chromosome 9, whole genome shotgun sequence.
UGGACAUAUUAUUGUAUUCGACUGUAUUCACGGCGUGAAACAGGGGAUUACACUGUUUUGAAAUGGAAAGUGUAUCAAUUAACAUAAUAGACUCCU